rnacentral:rRNA from 1 species
AUUGAACGCUGGCGGCAUGCUUUACACAUGCAAGUCGAACGGCAGCACGGGUGCUUGCACCUGGUGGCGAGUGGCGAACGGGUGAGUAAUGCAUCGGAACGUGCCCAUGAGUGGGGGAUAGCCCGGCGAAAGCCGGAUUAAUACCGCAUACGCCCUUAGGGGGAAAGCGGGGGAUCUUCGGACCUCGCGCUAUUGGAGCGGCCGAUGUCGGAUUAGCUAGUAGGUGAGGUAAAGGCUCACCUAGGCGACGAUCCGUAGCUGGUCUGAGAGGAUGAUCAGCCACACUGGGACUCGAGACACGGCCCAGACUCCUACGGGAGGCAGCAAUGGGGAAUUUUGGACAAUGGGCGCAAGCCUGAUCCAGCCAUGCCGCGUGAGUGAAGAAGGCCUC